rnacentral:lncRNA from 1 species
CUAGACAAGGCAGUUGAGGAGGAGGGAGCGCUUGAGGGGGACUGGCCUGGCGUGCACUCCGCACCUCGGGGACAUUAUUGCGCGUGGAACGGCUGCUUUUGGAAGGCACAACUUCCUGAAUGGACCAUGACUCCCACCAAAGAUCCCUGUCUCUGAUUCACCAAACAGCUUCAACCCUGAAACCAGGACGAGAAGUUGACAACAUCUGAGUGGACAGCUAAUUGACCUAAGACUUCAGACCAGGCCUGUAUGAUCUCCUGUCUAAACAUUCUUAGAGUAUUAUAUUUACUUUGGGGACUAUUGGCCUUGUCUGCUUUGACUCAGAUUAUAGGAUAUAUAACCUGGUUAAUGUUUCUGUACACAUGAUGGCCACCUAUGUAUAUACACUUGACUUUUCAGGGUCUCUGCUGGGGAUGGAAAAAUAGUUCAUUAGCCAAACUCUCCUAAAGUGUGGCAGAUGGAGGCAGUCUCUCAGAUUGCUGGAUUUGUCACCAGCUUCCAAGGGCCAUUCAAGAUCAUUACAUGCUACUUGUUGCACCAGAGAUUGAUUUUUCUGACACUCCAAAUGUUACCAUAUACUUACAUCAGUUCCCUCCAAAUGUCACUUUCCAAAUUCAAAUUCAGCUUCUAAAGCCAGGCCAUAUUUUCAUUCUGUGCUUAGUAAUAAGCCCUAAGUCUCACCCUUCCCCACCGCCCCCAGGUCUAUCUAUCAGUAAGCCAAUUAGGGACAAAUUCUCUAACUUAUCUAGAACACAAACUUAAUUCCUCAUCUUUUCCAGGUCCCUGCACAUUCCUGGCCUCCCACCGUUACUGUCAUAACUGGCAACUGAAUGUCCAAAGGAGAAAAAGCAAAGCAGAUUGUGCCAGCACGUCUCAUUUGUUAUAUAUCAUGCUUAUGCAGGCCUUUGUAAGGCCUGCAGUAAAACCAAUCCAUGGCUCACUCAUGUUUUAAACAACUUACCUAUUCAAACUAUUAUGAAUGAAUAGUUAAGAGAUACAUUUUGGUAUGUGGCAUUGGGCCACACCCACCAACUCAAGGAUGGGCACAUAGUGUAAAUAGCUGGCAAAAUAGCUGGCAAAUUGAAGGGCGCUUUUUUUUUUUUUUUUUUGAGGGAGAGUCUUGCUCUUUCGCCUAGGUUGUAGUGUGGUGGUGUGAUCAUGGCUCACUACAGCCUUGACCUCCCUGGGCUCAGGUGAUCCUCCUACCUCAGCCUCCCGAGUAGCUGGGACAAGGAGUCUGUGCAGUAGCUCACAGUGCCUGUUGCACUUACAUCGACACCUCGGGUGAAGUAGAGACUUGCACAGAAAGAAUUUCCAAGCAAGCUAAAUGGUUACAAGAGGCACAAACUACUGAUCUUCUCAAUGAUCUAUUUAAUUGGCUUCCUAUUUCUUCCAGUCUGCAGUUCAACCCCUUUUUCAUGGGUAAAGUGCCGACGUCAUAACAAGGUUUGAGGGAGGCACAUCUCACACGUGUGAAUGCCCAGUCAUCACACUUACAAAUGACAAAAGGAUCUCAAACCUUGAUAUAGUCUCUAUCCUACUUCUCUUACUAUCACUUAAAUUACUCAUGGUAUUUAUAACCAACUUACGUAAGUCUAUUGCUAAAACCAGAAUUAUAGGUCAGGUGCAGUGGCUCACACUCAAUCCUAGCACUUGGGAGGCCAAGGUGGGAAGACUGCUUGAGGCUAGGAGUUUGAGACCAGUGUGGGCAAUGCAGUGAAACCCUAUCUUGAU